UCUAGUAAACUACAAGUGGUCCUGUUCUCUAUUAUUGUUCUGUAAUGACCUCACUUCUGCAACUCUUGCUUCGUUUUACUAUUCUAACGCUAUGCUCAAUUUCAAUAGUUACAAUGUUUUACUCGAUCAUGUCGACUAAGUGGCUUCUUGAGAAAAGAGAUGGUUACUUUAUUUCUUGGGGAAUCUCACAAGUAUGCCAUAAUUACCCACCCUUGCUAAGCCCGAAGGCCUCACCUUUUGACUUGCAUUGCAUAAAAUACUUCUUUAGUAUGAAAGUACCUAAUAACUUCUGGCGUGCAACGGGAGUAAUAAUAAUAGUAGAGAUUGUUCUACUCUCUCUCGCAUUGCUGUUAACACUAUUAACUUCUUGUUGUGCGUCUGAAAAAGGAGAUAGCAACGUUCUCAAAAUACUAUACAUAGUGCUUUUUUUAAACGUCUUAGUUUCCAUCACUUUUCCAGCAUCCUUGCCUUCUUCAUUACUUGAGAAAGACUUAAAAAUUCCAAUUUGUCAGGGAAGCAGAGCGUACAACUUAGGAGCCUGCAAACUCGACUUAGGCUAUAAUUGUUUGUUCAUUACAUUUUGUUCCCUCGUAUUAUCAAUAAUUCUGUUAAACUACGCAAAGUUGAAAUUAAAAACGGAAAAAA